AACCGUCAUAAAAAAGUAGAAGAAGAGUUUCACAAUUCAAACUGUUUAAAAUCUACUGAUGUCCUGCAGCAAAAAUUAGCAACAGAGUUAGCAUCAGUCACCAGAGAAAUGUCACAGUUCAGCAGCUGAAAGUGUUGAAACUGACCGGAGUGAAGGGAAGCAGGCGGCGGCCGGGCUGGAGGCGGGAGCGGCGGCCGGGCUGGAGGCGGGAGCGGCGGCCGGGCUGGAGGCGGGAGCGGCGGCCGGGUGAGGCUGAGAACAGCGAGAGGCUUUUCUUCAGCGCGCCGAGGUGAGAUGUUUGUCAGACUGAAGGCCUGCGAGUCAAGCUGACGUCUUGAAGAGAUUGGAGUGGCUCUGAGAAAACAAUCUGCCUUCAUCCCCUCAAAGAAAAAUACAAGCUAACGCUUCAGCCAUGAAGUUAAAAACGUUGCAUGCUUUGGAUGUUUGAUGAACCGGGAUCAGGUGAAACCUCCUCUGCAGCGGCGGCGGCGC